CUGUGAGGGAACAGGCAGGGCUUCUAUAAAGCCAAGAGGCUGGAAACAGUAGGUAGUAAGAAAGAAGUUUGUAGUCUCUUCCUGAGGCAGCAUGCAUGUCAUGUGAUGCUAUAGCUGCCAUGAUGAGUGCUGCUGUAACAGCUGAGAACAUGGAUUCCACUGAGACUGUUACAGCAGCUCUACAACUAAGAAGACAAGAAAUGAUGUGUUGCCCAGCUUCCAUUACAAGUGACAACAGAACGCAAUUCACAUCCAAAAAAUGUCA